rnacentral:lncRNA from 1 species
UUUCGUUAUAAAACUGAAUGCUGAUGUUCGAUCCUUGUAUUCUUGAUUACCAGGCUCCUGUGAGGAGUUUUCUGGGUGUUCUUUGCUGUGAUAGUUGAGACGACAGCAAAAAUGGGAACUUCUGCAACAAUGCUGCAACCAUAUGAAGCUUCUCAGAAGCUUGCGGCCCCGACCAGUGGACUGAUGAACAGGUUUCCCCCCAUGUCCCGCGAGCUUGUUCCUCAAACCAGCAGCAGCUAUUUAAGCCUUAAGGAAUGGUGCCCCCUACACUCAGCAGCACAUAAGCAGUAAAGGCAAAUUUAUGAAGAAUUCCGUGAGCAAAAACUGUGGAAAUCUUUUCAGUGGUAAAGUGCGUGCAUGUAUCUCUGUACUCAAAGUUAUUACAGAAGCUGCUAAAGGAUGGUGAGUACAGAUCUGAUUAAAUUUGAAUUCCAAC